UCCGAAUUGGUGUAGUGGUUAACAUUUGACGCUCUCAUAUAUUGUCUCAAUUGGAGACUCCGUCAAGCCCGGGGUUCGAUUCCCCGAUUCGGAG